UGUUUUUCUUUCUUCCAUCUCGCUGUCGCCUUUUUCUCGUUUCCUCGAUGAAAAUUGAGGAAGACUUUCGUCUUGAUUGAGAAGAAAAUCGUCUUACAUCCAUCCUGAUCAUUAUCUGAAUUUUUCGUCUUGAUUGAAAAAGAUUUUCGGCUUGUAUAGAUCAGUAUGAUGGCCAAACUUGGAGGACGAGUCAUGCUUCCUAACUUGAUGGUUGUUCGAAUCGAUGGUCGUGAAGAUUUUCUCAAGUUCAAGAGUUUGAGAAGCCUAAUGAUGAAAAAGCACUCAGUCUGAUGAAUUCAUUGUUCUGCUGCGGUUUUGGAAGAGUUUUAGGACAUCAUCUUUGCGUAUGGAUACAGUGACAAAUACAGGUUAACAUACAAUUUGAUCCGAAUGCAAGCUCAGAGAAGUCCAUUCGGAUACAACGGUGGCGAGAAUGCUGGUGGGAAACAAGUGUGACUUGGAAAACAUAAGAGCAGUGAGCGUGGAGGAAGGAAAAGCACUAGCAGAAGCGCAUGAACUCUUCUUUGUGGAAACAUGGCACUUGAUUCAACUAAUAUAAACAGCAUUUGAAAAAGAAUUAAAUUGAGGACCCUAAUUUUAGAUACUACCAAUGGACCCAUAAAAUUGUAAAGUUUCUAAAGAAGUUGUUAACUUCACUUUUAUUCAAAAUUUACAAUUAAAUUG